rnacentral:rRNA from 1 species
GACGAACGCUGGCGGCGUGCUUAACACAUGCAAGUCGAACGGAAAGGCCCUGCUUGCAGGGUACUCGAGUGGCGAACGGGUGAGUAACACGUGGGUGAUCUGCCCUGCACUUCGGGAUAAGCCUGGGAAACUGGGUCUAAUACCGGAUAGGAGCCAUUUUUAGUGUGAUGGUUGGAAAGUUUUUUCGGCGUAGGAUGAGCUCGCGGCCUAUCAGCUUGUUGGUGGGGGAAUGGCCUACCAAGGCGGCGACGGGUAGCCGGCCUGAGAGGGUGGACGGCCACAUUGGGACUGAGAUACGGCCCAGACUCCUACGGGAGGCAGCAGUGGGGAAUAUUGCACAAUGGGCGCAAGCCUGAUGCAGCGACGCCGCGUGGGGGAUGACGGCCUUCGGGUUGUAAACUCCUUUCGCUAGGGACGAAGCUUUUUGUGACGGUACCUAGAUAAGAAGCACCGGCUAACUACGUG